CACGUAGGGGACGAGCGUUGUCCGGAUUCAUUGGGCGUAAAGCGCGCGUAGGCGGCUCGGAAAGUCGGGCGUGAAAUCCCCGGGCUCAACCUGGGAACUGCAUUUGUGACUGCAUGGCUAGAGUACGGCAGAGGGGGAUGGAAUUCCGCGUGUAGCAGUGAAAUGCGUAGAUAUGCGGAGGAACACCGAUGGCGAAGGCAAUCCCCUGGGCCUGUACUGACGCUCAUGCACGAAAGCGUGGGGAGCAAACAGG
rnacentral:rRNA from 1 species